AAAUUUUCUUUUACGCUUACAUUGUACAAUUAUUUAUGUAUUAGCAGCUAUAAUGCGAUUUCAUUUCUAGGAAACGGGCCCAGAAGGUGGCAAAAUUCAGGCCCAUUUUGAAGACCUUCUGAAGAACUAUGUUGCUGUUUAUGUGGAAGAAUUGCUGUUGGAACAUUUUGGCAAUCUGAUAAAGUUUGUAAAAACUCGUGCCUGUGAGUUUAUGAAUCUUCUUCAUCACAUUAUGUGUUUGUAUUGGUCAAAAAAAUAGGUCAGACUAAGGUUGACGUUUUGUAUUGCAUUGCAGCUGAGGACCCGAAUUCCGGAUCUGACAAACCAAUCACGGUGGCUGAAGUUGAACCACUCGUGAAGGAUUUUGGAAGUAGAUGGAAAGCAGCAAUAGAAUUGAUGCACAGUGAUGUAAUCACGUCGUUCAGCAACUUCCUAUGUGGAAUGGAGAUAUUAAGAGCCGCCUUGACGCAACUUCUACUUUACUAUACAAGACUCUCUGAUUGCAUGAAGAAAAUCGAUGGUGGGUCCGCCCUUAACAAGGAUCUUGUUUCCAUAUCGUCCAUUAUGCAUGAAAUCAGAAAGUUCUCCAGGACAUUCUAAUAACUCGAGUUGUUUGUUUGUUUGUUCAUACAACCUUUUCUCUUUUAGUUUGUGGUUAUAAGAAAAUUGUUUCGUUGCGAUGAUUCUUAAUCUGAUUAUUAAAACA